GACAGAGGUGCCGAGCGUUAGGCGGAAUCACUGGGCUUAAAGCGUGUGUAGGCGGACCGUUAAGUACCUUGUGAAAUCCCCGGGCUUAACCUGGGAACUGCAUUUGUGACUGCAUCGCUGGAGUGCGGCAGAGGGGAUGGAAUUCCGGCGUGUAGCAGUGAAAUGCGUAGAGAUGUGGAGGAACACCGAUGGCGAAGGCAGCCCCCUGGGUCAAGAUUGACGCUCAUGCACGAAAGCGUGGGGAGCAAACAGG
rnacentral:rRNA from 1 species